CGGGGUUGAAAACACCCAAACCCACUGUGAACAUACCUAACCAGCUGCCUCGGCGGGCAGGCCCCCGAUCCUGGGGGCCCUAACAGGCUUCCGUCCCUCGUUGGACGGACGUCCCGCCGGGGGGCGACCUCAACUAAACCAUUGUACUGUCAGUGAUACUCUGAGUCGGUAGGGAACAGUCA
rnacentral:misc_RNA from 1 species